rnacentral:rRNA from 1 species
UGAAUACGAGACGCUAAGGCGUCGAAGUAGUGUAUGUCAUACUUCCAAGAAAAGCUUGCACUGUCAUAGAUAAAAAACGCCUGUACCAUAACCGACACAGGUGGGUAGGUAGAGUAUACUAAGGGGCGCGAGAUAACUCUCUCUAAGGAACUCGGCAAAAUAACUCCGUAACUUCGGGAGAAGGAGUGCCUUAUUAUUAAGGCUGCAAUAACAAGAUCCAAGCAACUGUUUAUCAAAAACACAGGUCUCCGCUAAGUCGUAAGACGAUGUAUGGGGGCUGACGCCUGCCCAGUGCCAGAAGGUUAAAGAAGUUGGUUAGCAUUUGCGAAGCUGAUAACUGAAGCCCUGGUGAACGGCGGCCGUAACAAUAACGGUCCUAAGGUAGCGAAAUUCCUUGUCGGGUAAGUUCCGACCCGCACGAAAGGCGUAAUGAUUUGGAUACUGUCUCGGAGAGGGGCUCGGUGAAAUAGACUUGUCUGUGAAGAUGCGGACUACCUGCACCAGGACAGAAAGACCCUAUGAAGCUUUACUGUAACUUGAAAUUGAAAUUGGACUUUAUUCGCGCAGCAUAGGUGGGAGGCGUUGAUUAUAAUCUUGUGGGAUUAUUGGAGCCAUCAGUGAGAUACCACUCUUGUAAUGUUAGAUUUCUAACUUUGAAUCAUUAUCUGGUCAAAGAACAGUUUCAGGCGGGCAGUUUGACUGGGGCGGUCGCCUCCUAAACGGUAACGGAGGCGUACAAAGGUUUCCUCUGAACGGUUAGAAAUCGUAUCUAGAGUGUAAAGGCAUAAGGAAGCUUGACUGUGAGACCUACAAGUCGAGCAGGGACGAAAGUCGGUCUUAGUGAUCUGACGGUACUGAGUGGAAAGGCCGUCACUCAACGGAUAAAAGUUACUCUAAGGAUAACAGGCUGAUCUCCCCCAAGAGUUCACAUCGACGGGGAGGUUUGGCACCUCGAUGUCGGCUCAUCGCAUCCUGGGGCGGUAGUACGUCCCAAGGGUUGGGCUGUUCGCCCAUGAAAGCGGUACGCGAGCUGGGUUCAGAACGUCGUGAGACAGUUCGGUCCAUAUCCGGUGUAGGCGUUAGAAUAUUGAGAGGAGCCUUCUUUAGUACGAGAGGACCGAGAAGGACAUACCUCUGGUGUACCAGUUAUCGUGCCAACGGUAAACGCUGGGUAGCUAUGUAUGGAGUGGAUAACCGCUGAAAGCAUCUAAGUGGGAAGCCCACCUCAAGAUAAGUAUUCUCAUU